rnacentral:misc_RNA from 1 species
GUGAAUCAUCAAAUUUUUGAACGCAAAUUGCACUCUCUUCGGUGAGUAAGCCUGUUUGAGGUUCAGCCUAUAAAAAAUCGACAUCGUUGCUGUUUCGCGCUGGCGUUCGUCGGAAAUUGGGUCAUCUUACAUCCUUUUCAUUUAAGCGACUUAAACUUUUCUUUUGGUUCCAUGAACGUUUCAAAGAUCUAUUUCUUUACACGUUUAUGGUAUCGUUUUUUACUAGACUCGAUCAUCA